GAUGAACGCUGGCGGCGUGCCUAAUACAUGCAAGUCGAGCGAACAGACGAGGAGCUUGCUCCUCUGACGUUAGCGGCGGACGGGUGAGUAACACGUGGAUAACCUACCUAUAAGACUGGGAUAACUUCGGGAAACCGGAGCUAAUACCGGAUAAUAUAUUCAACCGCAUGGUUCAAUAGUGAAAGACGGUUUUGCUGUCACUUAUAGAUGGAUCCGCGCCGCAUUAGCUAGUUGGUAAGGUAACGGCUUACCAAGGCAACGAUGCGUAGCCGACCUGAGAGGGUGAUCGGCCACACUGGAACUGAGACACGGUCCAGACUCCUACGGGAGGCAGCAGUAGGGAAUAUUCCGCAAUGGGCGAAAGCCUGACGGAGCAACGCCGCGUGAGUGAUGAAGGUCUUCGGAUCGUAAAACUCUGUUAUUAGGGAAGAACAAAUGUGUAAGUAACUAUGCACGUCUUGACGGUACCUAAUCAGAAAGCCACGGCUAACUACGUG
rnacentral:rRNA from 1 species